UAACACGUAAACAACCUGCCUUCAGGAUGGGGACAACAGACGGAAACGACUGCUAAUACCGAAUAAGUUCCAAGAGCCGCAUGGCCCAUGGAAGAAAAGGUGGCCUCUACCUGUAAACUAUCGCCUGAAGAGGGGUUUGCGUCUGAUUAGCUGGUUGGAGGGGUAACGGCCCACCAAGGCGACGAUCAGUAGCCGGUCUGAGAGGAUGAACGGCCACACUGGAACUGAGACACGGUCCAG
rnacentral:rRNA from 1 species